rnacentral:lncRNA from 1 species
UUUUUUGUUUUUUUUGUUUUUUUUGUUUUUUUUUUUUUUUGAGCUAGGAUCUUUUUGUGUAGACCAGGCUAGCCUUGAAUCCACACAGAUCCACCUGCCUCUGCCUCCCCACUACCACAAAGCUACACUGGUGUGAGUCUGUGUUCGUGCUGUGGAGAGGGCGUGUGUAAAGGUCAGGCAGGGGUCAGCCUCAGGCUCGGGAUUCACCGUGCGUUUGUUGUUAGUAUGUCACAGUAUUAGUGGUAUUACAUCUUAGUGUAUGGAGAUGGGGAGGGCACAUACGCCAUGGCGUGCUGUGGCGGUCUGGAGCCAGGGGACCUGCUCCACCUGCUGCACCAUCCACUGGCUGGUAGUCUGUGAGACAGGACUUGCCUGGGUCAGAGGCUGAGCUAGCAACUCCCAUGCUUCUCGUGCCGGGUACAAGUGAGCGCCACCCUGAGCUUUCCAUGUAGGUGCUCGUGGAGCAGGCCCUUUACCAGUUAUGCCAUCUCCCCAGCCCAGGACUAAACUUGUGAUUUGGAAUAUAUAUAUAUAUAAUCAAUUAGUUUCAGCUUGACACGUCACCUGGGAAAAUAGGGACUCAGUUGAGGAAACUGUCCUAUUUGGUUGGCUGGUGGGCAAGACUGUGGGCAUUUUUUAAAGGCAAAUUUAGGAAAGAGGGCCCAGUAUACUUUAAUUU